AUUGAACGCUGGCGGCAUGCUUUACACAUGCAAGUCGAACGGCAGCGCGGGGCAACCUGGCGGCGAGUGGCGAACGGGUGAGUAAUAUAUCGGAACGUACCCAGAAGUGGGGGAUAACGUAGCGAAAGUUACGCUAAUACCGCAUACGAUCUACGGAUGAAAGUGGGGGACCUUCGGGCCUCAUGCGCUUGGAGCGGCGGAUAUCGGAUUAGCGAGUUGGUGAGGUAAAGGCUCACCAAGGCGACGAUCAGUAGCUGGUCUGAGAGGACGACCAGCCACACUGGGACUGAGACACGGCCCAGACUCCUACGGGAGGCAGCAGUGGGGAAUUUUGGACAAUGGGCGCAAGCCUGAUCCAGCAAUGCCGCGUGAGUGAAGAAGGCCUUCGGGUUGUAAAGCUCUUUUGUCAGGGAAGAAACGGCCGAGGAUAAUACCUUCGGCUAAUGACGGUACCUGAAGAGUAAGCACCGGCUAACUACGUGCCAGCCGCCGCCGUAA
rnacentral:rRNA from 1 species